rnacentral:rRNA from 1 species
AGUGAACGCUGGCGGUAGGCCUAACACAUGCAAGUCGAACGGCAGCACAGUAAGAGUUUGCUCUUACGGGUGGCGAGUGGCGGACGGGUGAGGAAUACAUCGGAAUCUACUUUUUCGUGGGGGAUAACGUAGGGAAACUUACGCUAAUAGCGCAUAUGAUCUACGGGUGAAAGAAGGGGAUCUUCGGACCUUGCGUGAUAGAUUGAGCCGAUGUCGGAUUAGCUAGUUGGCGUGGUAAAGGCACACCAAGGCGACGAUCCGUAGCUGGUCUGAGAGGAUGAUCAGCCACACUGGAACUGAGACACGGUCCAGACUCCUACGGGAGGCAGCAGUGGGGAAUAUUGGACAAUGGGCGCAAGCCUGAUCCAGCCAUACCGCGUGAGUGAAGAAGGCCUUCGGAUUGUAAAGCCCUUUUGUUAGGAAAGAAAAGCAGCAUGUUAAUACCCCGCUGUUCUGACGGUACCCAAAGAAUAAGCACCGGCUAACUUCGUG